CUUGUUUUAAAGAUUAAGCCAUGCACGUCUASGUAUAACGGCAUAUACUAGAAAACUGCGGACGGCUCAUUAAAUCAGUUAUAGUUUAUUUGAUGGUGAAAUUUUAUAUGGAUACCUGUAGGAAGUCUAGAGCUAAUACAUGUGUAAAUCCUGACUUAUGGAGGGACGYAUUUAUUAGUUUUAAGAUUGACAUACCUCGGUUGAUCCAUGAUAUUUGCACGGAUCGCACGGUUUUACGCCGGCGACUUUUCAUUCGAAUUUCUGCCCUAUCAAUUUACGAUGGUACGGUAGUGGCGUACCAUGAUUUUUACGGGURACGGAGGAUUAGGGUUUGAUUCCGGAGAGGGAGCCUUAGAGACGGCUACCACAUCCAAGGAAGGCAGCAGGCGCGAAAAUUACCCAAUGCAGACACUGUGAGGUAGUGACGAUAAAUAACAAUGUUGGGCUUUAAAAGUUUGGUAAUUGGAAUGAGAACAUUUUAAACAUCUUACCGAGGAUCUAUUGGAGGGCAAGUCUGGUGCCAGCAGCCGCGGUAAUUCCAGCUCCAAUAGCGUAUAUUUAAGUUGUUGCGGUUAAAAAGCUCGUAGUCGUAUUUCGGGCGUGCCCAUUGGUCCGUUCUUCAAGAAUGUGUAUCGGUAAGGUACGUCUUGUUGCACGAAGCGCGCUUCUGGGCUUCACUGCUCGGAACGUGGGUCGUGCGUUGUCACUUUGAGUAAAUUAGAGUGUUUAAAGCAGGCGUGCGCUCUGCAUAUUCCAGCAUGGGAUGACACGAUAGGACCUCGGUCCGUGCGUCGGUCUGCGGGUCCGAGGUAAUGAUCGAUAGAAACGAUCGGGGGCGUUCCUAUUUCGUUGUCAGAGGUGAAAUUCUUGGAUUUACGAAAGAGGAUCAAAUGCGAAAGCAUUCGCCAAGGGCGUUUUCGUUGAUCAAGAACGAAAGUUGGGGGAUCGAAGAUGAUUAGAUACCAUCCUAGUCUCAACCAUAAACUAUGCCGACUGGGGAUCGGCGGGUGUUCGAUUGCGACCUCGCCGGCACCCUGUGAGAAAUCAUUAGUGUAUGGGUUCCGGGGGUA
rnacentral:rRNA from 1 species